GAUCGUUGUCUCCUUUCUCUUCUCUCUCUCACCCAGGAUGCCAUGGUGACACACUUUCCCUGAAAGAUACUAUUAUAGCUGAACAGAAACAAAAUAAUUCUGUCUGUCUGUCUGUCUGUCUGUCUGUCUGUCUGUCUGUCUGUCUGUCUGUCUGUCUGUCUGUCUAAACAUUUUGUUGGUCCCCACAAGGUCAAAUGCUAUUUCUAGGGGGUUUAAGGUUAAAGUUAGAAUUAGUGUUAGGGUUAGAAUUACGUUAAGGUUUAGAAGCUAGGGUUAGGUUUAGUUUUAGGUUUAGGGUUAGGUUUAGGGUUAGGUUUAGGUUUAGGGUUAGGGUUAGGAGCUAGAGUUAGGGUUAGGUUUAGGGUUAGGAGCUAUGGUUAGGGUUAGGUGCUAGGGUUAGGGUUAGGAGCUAGGGUUAGGGUUAGGAGCUAGGGUUAGGGUUAGGAGCUAUGGUUAGGGUUAGGUGUUAGGGUUAGGAGCUAGGGUUAGGGUUAGGAGCUAGGGUUAGGGUUAGGAGCUAGGGUUAGGGUUAGGAGCUAGGGUUAGGGGUUAGGGUUAGGGUUAGGGUUAGGAGCUAGGGUUAGGGUUAGGGUUAGGAGCUAGGGUUAGGUCUAGCCUGUUCAACCUCUUUUUCGUAUCGUCUGAGAUUCCCAAAGAUUGGAAAGCUGCCGCGGUCAUCCCCCUCUUCAAAGGGGGAGACACUCUAGACCCAAACUGUUACAGACCUAUAUCCAUCCUACCCUGCCUUUCUAAAGUCUUCGAAAGCCAAGUUAAUAAAC
rnacentral:lncRNA from 1 species